CUACAGUUGAUCAAAAAGAAAAAAAAAGGUUUAAGGACAUUUUUAGAUACAUUUGAUACUGCGCUUUAAGAUGAACUACUGGUCCACCUCGGCCCUCUCCAAGUCCUCCUCCACGGCCGCAUCACGCACAAAUGUCUUAUUGCAUCCCUCUUGCGUACAAACGCAUGGUCCUCACACAGCUCGGCCCUCUCCAAGUUGAAGAUGGACUACUGGUCCACCUCGGUCCUCUCCAAGUCCUCCUCCUUGUUUGCGAGGUCGACAAAACAGUAUGUACACCAGUUCGACUCGUUUUGUCUGGAAGUGCUUUGAUAAAUAUACAAAAAAGAAAAGACAGGUCGGACAACUACUCAACUACUGUAGUACACUUUGGAACUUUUGGGAUGCGAAUAAUGGAGAUGCGAUUGUGAAUAAUAACAAUAAAAAAGAAAAAAAAGGUAUAAGGACAUUUUUAGAUACAUUUGAUACAUUUGCUACAUUGCUACUUUGCUACAUUGCUGCUUUGCUACCGUUGAUCAAAAAGAAAAAAAAGGUAUAAGGACAUUUUUAGAUACAUUUGAUACUGCGCUUGAAGAUGAACUACUGGUCCACCUCGGCCCUCUCCAAGUCCUCCCCCACGGCCGCCUCACGCACAAAUGUCUUAUUGCAUCCCUCUUGCGUAGAAACGCAUGGUCCUCACAAACCUCGGCCCUCUCCAAGUUGAAGAUGAACUACUGGUCCACCUCGGUCCUCUCCAAGUCCUCCUCCUUGUUUGCGAGGUCGACAAAACAGCAUGUACACCAGUUCGACUCGUUUUGUCUGGAAGUGCUUUGAUAAAUAUACAAAAAAGAAAAGACCGGUCGGACAACUACUCAACUACUGUAGUGUUUGCCCAUGAUAGGAGCCAAAAGACCAGCUAAUGCGUUGAAAAACGCUUUUGUCUCCAUCGGAAUGUUUUGUUUUCAACUGUGCGCCAUUUGUUGGCUUUCGUCCCGAAUGAUUUUUGCAAAAAGCUUUUCUUACCUGAAGAUAGCAAUUAGACUUGCAUUUGGCUCGAUACAUUUCAUAUCCGUCAUUUUGAAACUUUUGGGAUGCGAAUAAUGGGGAUGCGAUUGGGAAUAAUAACAAUAAAAAAGAAAAAAAGGUAUAAGGACAUUUUUAGAUACAUUUGAUACAUUUGCUACAUUGCUACUUUGCUACACUGCUGCUUUGCUACAGUUGAUCAAAAAGAAAAAAAAGGUAUAAGGACAUUUUUAGAUACAUUUGAUACUGCGCUUGAAGAUGAACUACUGGUCCACCUCGGCCCUCUCCAAGUCCUCCUCCACGGCCGCAUCACGCACAAAUGUCUUAUUGCAUCCCUCUUGCGUACAAACGCAUGGUCCUCACACACCUCGGCCCUCUCCAAGUUGAAGAUGGACUACUGGUCCACCUCGGUCCUCUCCAAGUCCUCCUCCUUGUUUGCGAGGUCGACAAAACAGUAUGUACACCAGUUCGACUCGUUUUGUCUGGAAGUGCUUUGAUAAAUAUACAAAAAAGAAAAGACAGGUCGGACAACUACUCAAGUACUGUAGUGUUUGCCCAUGAUAGGAGCCAAAAGACCAGCUAAUGCGUUUAAAAACGCUUUUGUCUCCAUCGGAAUGUUUUGUUUUCAACUGUGCGCCAUUUCUUGGCUUUCGUCCCGAAUGAUUUUUGCAAAAAGCUUUUCUUACCUGAAGAUAGCACCUAGACUUGCAUUUGGCUCGAUAUAUUUCAUAUCCGGCACUUUGGAACUUUUGGGAUGCGAAUAAUGGGGAUGCGGUUGUGAAUAAUAACAAUAAAAAAGAAAAAAAGGGUAUAAGGACAUUUUUAGAUACAUUUGAUACAUUGCUACUUUGCUACAUUGCUGCUUUGCUACAGUUGAUCAAAAA